rnacentral:rRNA from 1 species
UACGAAGGGGGCUAGCGUUGCUCGGAAUCACUGGGCGUAAAGCGCACGUAGGCGGCUUUUUAAGUCAGGGGUGAAAUCCUGGAGCUCAACUCCAGAACUGCCUUUGAUACUGGGAAGCUUGAGUCCGGAAGAGGUGAGUGGAACUCCGCGUGUAGAGGUGAAAUUCGUAGAUAUUCGGAAGAACACCAGUGGCGAAGGCGGCUCACUGGUCCGGUACUGACGCUGAGGUGCGAAAGCGUGGGGAGCAAACAGG